rnacentral:lncRNA from 1 species
CACACAUACACAUACAUAAUGUGUGUGUGCAUAUAUAUAUAACAUUAAAUAAAAAUUUACAGAAAAAUAUUAAAAAGCAGACAUUGAUGUCAAGCGUACAUACAUAUAUUUAUACAUACAUACACACACACACACAUAUAUAUGUAUAUACAUCCCACUGCUUGCUUCUUGCUCCACUUAAUAAUAAUAAUAAUAAUGGCUUCAAAUUUUGCCAGAAGGGCAGCAGUUUUUGGGGAGAGGGUGAGUCGAUCACAAUCAACCCCAAAAGGAUGAAAGGCAAAGUCAACCCCAGCAGAAUUUGAACUCAGCACAUAGCGAACGGCAAACUACCGCUAAGUAUUUCGUCUAGCAUUCUAACUAUUCUGCCAGCUCACUGCCUUUGUAUAAUAAUAAUAAUAAUAAUGAUAAUAAUAAUAAUAACAAUAAUAAUAAUAAUAAUCUUUCUACUAAAGGCACAAGGCCAGAAAUUUUGGGGGAGGGGGCAGUCAUUUGCAUCGACUCCAGUGAAUCACUGGUUCUUAUUUUAUCGACCCGCUAAAGGAUGAAAGGCAAAGUUCACCUCGGCUGUAUUUGAACUCAGAGCAGAGAUGGCCGAAAUACCGCUGACCAUUUCGUCCAGUGUGAUAACAAUUUUGCCAGCUUGAUAAUAAUAAUAAUAAUAAUCCUUUCUAACUUAGGGUUAGGGUUAGCAAUUUUGAAGGGGAAAGGACAAGUUGAUGCCAUUCACUGCAGUACUUGACUGGUGUUUAUUUUUAUCAACCCCGAGAGGAUGAAAAUCAAAAUUGACUUCAGCUGGAUUUGAACUUGGAACCUAAGUCAGAACAAACGCUGGAAAGUAAUUUUCCCAACUAAUGUCAAGCAACCCAAAUUUUUUUUUUUUUUUUUUUGAGGAGGUACAACACAGCCAAAUAAGGUAAGUUUAAUGUCAGAGUUCAUGAAAAAAAUUUUAUUAUAUUUCUGCUGAAAUUCUGUUUUGAUUAAUUUUUAAAAUAGAAAAAAAGAAAGAAAAAGGACUUUUUUAUCACACAGUCCAAGACUGCAUCUGGCUGGUUCUAUGGUACAAACUUCCUUCUUUGAAGUGAUAUAAAGUAAAACUUUCUUCCAUCAAAAUUCCAUGCUAAUUUAAGUUUCAAACACCAGAUUAACAAAGACCAAAUUAUUUUAAUAAAUUCUCUCAAGGAAGCACACUACGGCAAAAUCCAAAAGGAAGCAAAAAUCUAGCAUUACAUUACAUAUCAGGCCCUGAUCUGGAACCCACAAGAAAGGCAGAAGAGAAGACACCCUAAAAAUAGCUGGAUACUGAAGCAGAGCAGAAAAAGCAGGGAUCAAACUAGAAGGGGAGCAGAAAUGACGGCUCAAAGUUGGGAACAGUGGGGGAGAGUUUCAGAUGGCCUAAGCUCCAUAAAGAGUGAUGGACUUAACCAUUUUAAAUUUAUACCAGAUACAUCCAGUCGAAAUAUUCUGUUUUAUGUCCAAAAUGGUCAGAUCUGGACUUUCACACCAACCCUACAAUGUCCCCUUAAUCUCUCUAUAUAAACGGCACUUUGUCUGUCUGUGUGUCUGUCAGGUUGUACCCUCACCCUGACCACGGCUUUCAACCGAUUCUGAUGAAACUUGACACACACAUAGCCCAAUGUCAUAAUUCAAAACUAACGCAGCAAAAAUUUUGGAAAGUUCCCCCAGUUCUGAACAAAACCGAUAAAUUCGACAUGGGGUCGAGAAUCUAAACUUUUUAUAUGCAACACAUUUUCUGUCUAGGGGACACACUCGACCUUUUUAUCGCCCAAAGGGACAGCUAGGAACAUCGUAUACACACAAGCAUUCGAGUGAAGAGAAGACAUUGCAACCUACACAUGCGCCUUCGUUCCCUAGAGGGAAAGAACUAGAUUGGGAUUAGUCGUUGCCUACUAGGGGCUCUUACAUACCCGGGCAACGCCGGGCUAUGCUGCUAGUAUAUAUAUAAGUCACAUCAUUGAAAUCGCAUAGCUACAAGAUAAUGCAGGAUUAAUUCAAAACAAUGGAUAAAUAAGUAUUACGUUUGACAGAGGAAGCUGAAUGCUAAAAAGUAUUUCACAAGCUCUUUAUGUUCUAGGUUUGACUUAGCCUUUCGUAAUUUCUGAGUUAGUUAAGUACUAAGGGCCAAUGGUAUCCACUAACCUGUUUCCCUUAACCCUUUUGAUACCAACCUGGCUGAAACCACCUCUGGCUCUGUAGUACAAAUGACUUGUUUUCCUAAGUUUUGAAUUAAAUCCUUCCACCAAACCUUAGUCACAAUUUAUGUUCCUAACAUUAGCUUAAUGAUAACUAAGUUAUUUCACUAAAUUCUUUGUUAUAUUUAACAUAAUUGAGAGAAACACAGAGAAUCUCAACAGAAAUAUGGUAACAAAAGGGUUAAAGUCACCAUGAUAUUUUUAACCCUUUCGUUACCAACCCGGCUGAAACAGGUUCUGGCUCUGUAGUACAAAUGACUUGUUUUCCUAAGUUUUGAAUUAAAUCCUUCCACCAAACCUUAGUCACAAUUUAUGUUCCUAACAUUAGCUUAAUGAUAACUAAGUUAUUUCACUAAAUUCUUUGUUAUAUUUAACAUAAUUGAGAGAAACACAGAGAAUCUCAACAGAAAUAUGGUAACAAAAGGGUUAAAGUCACCAUGAUAUUUUUAACCCUUUCGUUACCAACCCGGCUGAAACUGGUUCUGGCCCUGUAGUACAAAUGACUUGUUUUCCUAAGUUUUGAAUUAAAUCCUUCCACCAAACCUUAGUCACAAUUUAUGUUCCAAACACUAGCUGAAUGAUAACUAAGUUAUUUUACUAAAUUCUUUGUUAUAUUUAACAUAAUUGAGAGAAACACAGAGAAUCUCAACAGAAAUACAGUAAUGAAAGGGUUAAAACUGCUGUCCCUUCAGCCUAAAUUACAAACAAUUAUUAUUAUUAAGGCAACAAGCAAGCAGAACCGUUACCCUGCCAGAUAAAAUGUUUGGUGACAUUUCACCUGGCUUUACAUUUUCCUAGUUCAAAUUCCGCCUUUUGUACUUUCAGGGUUCAUCAUCAUCAUUAGCGUCCGUUUUCCAUGCUGGCAUGGGUUGGAUGGUUUCUCUGGUGGUGGUAUGCCAGAACUGCACCAGGCUCUAAUUGUCUGUUUUUGGCUUCGUUGAUAAAAUUAAUACAAAUCCAAUACUCGUGUUGAUGUAAUUGACUGCUCCACCUCUCAAAAAACAAAAAAGAAAAAAAAAAAAACCACAGGCCCUGUGCCAAAAAAUUUGAAAUUAUUAUUAUUAUUGAAGGUAAAGAAUAUGCACAACCGGUGUUUAGGUUUAGGGCGGCAAGCUGGCAGAAACGUUAGCACGCCGGGCGAAAUGCGUAGCUGUAUUUCGUCUGUUGUUACGUUCUGAGUUCAAAUUCCGCCGAGGUUGACUUUGCCUUUCAUCCUUUCGGGGUCGAUAAAUAAAGUACCAGUUAUGCACUGGGGUCGAUAUAAUCGACUUAAUACCUAUGUCUGUCCUUGUUUGUCCCUUCUGUGUUUAGCCCCUUGUGGGUAGUAAAGAAAUAGGUAUUUAGGUUUAAGGCGGCGAGCUGGCAGAAACGUUAGCACGCCGGGCGAAAUGCGUAGCCGUAUUUCGUCUGCCGUUACGUUCUGAGUUCAAAUUCCACCGAGGUUGACUUUGCCUUUCAUCCUUUCGGGGUUGAUAAAUUAAGUACCAGUUAUGCACUGGGGUCGAUAUAAUCGACUUAAUACCUAUGUCUGUCCCUGUUUGUCCCUUCUGUGUUUAGCCCCAUGUGGGUAAUAAAAAGAAUAGGUAUUUAGGUUUAGGGGUUAUGCCAAAAACGGGUGGUGCAUGUAUUCCUUACCUCUGUUUAUAGAAAAGGUAAAGAAAAUGCACACCUGGUGUUUAGGGUGAUGUGCAUAUUCUUUACCUCCACCAUAAUUAUUAUUAUUAUUAUUAUUAUGUAGGUUCUGUCGGAGAGUUUAAAGCCUCAGAAUGACUAGAAUGUUUCAUCACAGACAUAACACAUCAGAAGUUAAGGGGCAUUUUUUUAAUAUAUUUUUCUACUGGAAGUUUAUACUUAUUUUGUUUUACAAGCAUACGCAGGUGUUUGUAGGUGUGUGUGUGUGUGUGAGGAGUGAGGUGUGGGGGGGCAGGGGUUUUUGCGAGGCAUUAAACUUUCCAAAAGCCACAAAUGACCGAAUGCUGAAUUUCUUUUUGAGGUAGUCAUACUUAGCAAGGUUAUACACUACACACACACACACACUGACAACUUUUUCUCUCAACCGGCACCACGUACAAUCGAAUAUUACAUCUGCGCUAAUAUUCUGAGGUUGCUGUAUACGGUUACGUGCAAGCAUAUAUAUAUAC